rnacentral:rRNA from 1 species
GACGAACGCUGGCGGCGUGCUUAACACAUGCAAGUCGAGCGGAGCGGCGAACGGGUGAGUAACGCGUGAGUAACUGCCCCCCUCUCUGGGAUACCAGUUGGAAACGGCUGCUAAUACCGGCUAGUGGGGGAUGUCUCGCGUCCAAUUAGCUUGUUGGUGGGGUAGUGGCCUACCAAGGCGACGACGGGUAGCCGGCCUGAGGAGGCGACCGGCCACAAGGGUCUGAGGUACGGCGCAGAAGCGAACGGGAGGCAGUGGUCGGGAGUAUGGCCGAGUGAGGGAAACGCUGAUGAAGAGGCGCCGGGUGCGGGAUAACGGCCUGCGGGUGGUAAACCGCUAUCAGCGAUAACGCGGUAGUGGCAGAAGAAGCACCGGCUAACUACGUGCCAGCAGCCGCGGUAAUAC